UUUAAAUUGAGAGUUUGAUCCUGGCUCAGGACGAACGCUGGCGGCGUGCCUAACACAUGCAAGUC
rnacentral:rRNA from 3 species